rfam:Strongyloides venezuelensis genome assembly, scaffold: SVE_scaffold0000004
UCUCUGGUAGUAUAGUGGUGAGUAUCCGCGCCUGUCACGUGCGAGACCGGGGUUCGAUUCCCCGCCAGAGAG